rnacentral:rRNA from 1 species
AAUGAACGCUGGCGGUAUGCCUAACACAUGCAAGUCGAACGGCAGCACCGUAACAGCUUGCUCUUACGUGUGUCGAGUGUCGGACGGUUGAGGAAUACAUCGGAUUCUACUUUUUCGUGGGGGCUAACGUAGGGAAACUUACGCUAAUACCGCAUACGACCUACUGGUGUAAGCAGGCGAUCUUCUAACCUUGUGCUAUUGUAUAAGCCGAUGUCGGAUUCGCUAGUUAGCGGGGUAGAGGCCCACCAAGGCGACGAUCCGUAGCUGGUCUGAGAGGAUGAUCAGACACACUGGAACUGAGACACGGUCCAGACUCCUACGGGAGGCAGCAGUGGGGAAUAUUGGACAAUGGGCGCAAGCCUGAUCCAGCAAUACCGCGUGGGUGAAGAAGGCCUUCGGGUUGUAAAGCCCUUUUGUUGGGAAAGAAAAGCAGCAGGUUAAUACGCCGCUGUUCUGACGGUACCGAAAGAAUAAGCACCGGCUAACUUCGUG